UUAGCAGAGAUGCUUUGGUGCCUUCGGGAACUCUGAGACAGGUGCUGCAUGGCUGUCGUCAGCUCGUGUUGUGAAAUGUUGGGUUAAGUCCCGCAACGAGCGCAACCCUUAUCCUUUGUUGCCAGCGGUUAGGCCGGGAACUCAAAGGAGACUGCCAGUGAUAAACUGGAGGAAGGUGGGGAUGACGUCAAGUCAUCAUGGCCCUUACGAGUAGGGCUACACACGUGCUACAAUGGCGCAUACAAAGAGAAGCGACCUCGCGAGAGCAAGCGGACCUCAUAAAGUGCGUCGUAGUCCGGAUUGGAGUCUGCAACUCGACUCCAUGAAGUCGGAAUCGCUAGUAAUCGUAGAUCAGAAUGCUACGGUGAAUACGUUCCCGGGCCUUGUACACACCGCCCGUCACACCAUGGGAGUGGGUUGCAAAAGAAGUAGGUAGCUUAACCUUCGGGAGGGCGCUUACCACUUUGUGAUUCAUGACUGGGGUGAAGUCGUAACAAGGUAACCGUAGGGGAACCUGCGGUUGGAUCACCUCCUUA
rnacentral:rRNA from 1 species